ACUUUAGGUACCUAUUUUGCUUUAUUAAUUUUACAGACGUCAGCGUGAUUUUUUUUUGUCCUCGCAAAAGUUAAAAUAUGAGUCAAAACGACGAAAACAGGAAUCUUGUGCAAAACGUCAACAGGAUGGGUAAGCGAAAUGUUUUGCAGAGUCUACAACCGUGUUGUAAAGACAGGACAGUUCUAGUUGGUACCGGUAUGUCUCAAAAAAGGAUUAGUGGAAAUGUGAUCAAUAGAUAUCAGGUGUUCGACGUGUUCAAAGUUUUCGUUGAAGACAACAACGGAAAUAGUGGAUAAUAUUUUACAUAGGUCUUCAACAAAGUAUACAAUGUAUUUCUAACCAAAAAUUC